GACGUAGGCCAGAUCGUAGCUGGGACACCAGCUACUCGUCGUUGUCGAUGUCUACGAAGAACCCUCCAUUAGCGUCAUUAGCAACCUCUGCAACAGUUAUUAAGCAAACAUGAGUACGAAGGUACUCAGCAAGACUUUAGGAGAACUAACUACUCAUGCAAGGUAUCAAAAGGUAUUGUGGGGUUUCAUGCGGGAAGCGAGCAUCUAACUCGUGGCUAGACAACUUGCAUUUUGAAAUUAGUUUUGACAACUUGAUUUCUCGCACACGAGUCCACUAACACCACAACAAUACACUACCGUGGAAUCAUUCCGUCUCCAUACGGAAAUGCCGUCCACGACACUCAGUUCCUAAGGACAGUUCCAAUGAAACAACCCGUCAUGUACUCCUACACAGCCUUUCCCCGGUACCUUUACCAAAUCAAGUUCAACACACAACCUUUGCUAACCGAACACAUUCUCACAGUUCUGUUCAUCUCCCAGAUGACAGACCAUACACAACUCUAAGCAUAGCAUGCAUAGCAGGAUAAGGCACAUCAUAGCUCAAGCAACUACCAGGUAUGCUAGGUUGCAAGGUUCGGCUAUUUACUGUGACAAGGUUAGGUCAUGCAAAGGAAGUGGGUUCAACUAUCGUGGCAAAAGCAGUUGAAGCAUUUGAUCUUAAAUGCAAUAACUAGGCGCAGGAGCAAGAACAUGGGAGUUAUCGGAAUGAUCAAAGGGGUUGCUUGCCUUGUUGCUCAGAGGAGGAACGAUAUCCGUCAGACGGAUAUUCGGUGGAAUCCGGGGGUGCGGAGCCUACCGAAAUGAAUGGCAACAUUCAAUAACAAUCAUAUGCACUCAAAAUUAUGCGUGAGCAUGGCAUGAGAAUGCAAGGUGAUAAGUUAUUAUUUUCAACAUGUAUUAGGUUUAGAGUUGAUUUGAAUUACAUUCGAAUAGCAACUCAAACGGGGUAUUCUCGGAUACCGGUUUAAUUGAUUCGACCUGAUGCUCAGAUCAACUUGAAGUUAACAUGCAUGAAAUGUCAUGUUAUGGUACUGAAUUGUUAUUAGGACAGUGGUGAACAUUGUAUAUAUAAUGGAAUUUGAAUAUUUUUGAAAAUUCCAUUUAUAAAGUGAUUAUAAGAAUUGAAUUAUUCCUUAUUCCACAAUUUAGGGUUCUGUAACUUUUUUAAACAUGGUUGAAAUUAGCAUAAUCAGAAUCCUUGAAUUUUUCUGAUACUUUUUCAUAUAUAAAUUAUUUUCAUUGGAGUUACAGAUUAAUUUCUAUGAUUUUUACAAGUUUUAUCAAUUUCCUGGAAUUAUUUUUAUACUGGAAAUUCUAUUUAUUGCAUCAGACUGACGUCAGCAGGUCAGCCGACCUGUUCAGGUCAAACCUGACAGGGGGGCCCCACUGGUCAGCCUGUCUGGGACUAAUCCCGCGCUGACCAGCCCUAACUGAGGUUUGACUUGGCCUUGGGCCCACUUGUAAGCGAGUGAUUAGGUGCUGAGCGGCUGGAUUAGCUUUGCCACGUCGACAUCCACCGGCGGCGAGGUCGUUCUCGCCGGCGGGGAACCUCCGGCGACCACCAGCACGGCGGAGGGGCUCGGAAACGGCGCACAGGGGGCCAAAUGCUGUGCGGAGAGCACCAGAGGAACGACACGUCUCCCGCAGCUUCAUUUCUGCACUUAGCCGGGGCUGAUCUGGCAGGAGAUGACGCCGGCGACGAGCUUGGCGGCGGCCAAGGCUCGGGCGUCAUCGGGGUCUUUGAAUCAGAGGGAUCUACGCUCGGUUACGAGCUGCUUCAGCAUCUACGCGUCGACCUGGAGCUGCUGGUGCCCUCGGAAGGACGAGCUGAUCAUCGGAGGGCUACCGGCGACGAGCGGCAGCGGCGGUCCUCGUCGGGCUCCGGUGAAACUAGAGCUAGAGGAGGGGAUCGACGGGGAAAACUUAGGGGAAACAACCGCAUGCUCACGGGGAGUGCAGAGCAGAGCUUAGAUGGCUCGGGGAAGGCCUGGGGGCGAUGAAUCGACGAAAGAGGUCCGGCGGCCGGAGGUGGAAGACGACGGCGUUGCGGGCGUUGCAGGGCUCGAGGAAGCUUCGGCUUCUGCAGAGAUGACCAGGGCGACGAGGCGGAGCUAAUGGCGUGCUCUGGGAGGGAAUCCUAUGGCUAGGGGCACGGGCAGCUCGAGCUCGAGCUCGGCUCUAAUGGCGGCAGCAAGGAGGAGGAGGAGAUCCGGGAGGAGGAAGAGAACCGAGGCGGGGAAUGGAUAGGGGAGGCCCUGGGGAGCUUAUCCCCGUCGUCGCCAGCGCGAGGCGGCGGCCAGGCAGGCACGCAGGUGCGUGGCCGCGCCGGAGGGGGCGGCGGCCACCUCCUGCUGCCUACUGGCGCGAGGGAGGGGACGAGCCAGGGAUGGGCCGGGCCAGGCUUAGGCGACAGGUAAGGUUUUUCCAUUUUUUUUCUGUUUUUGUUUUUCUGUUUUGCUAAUUAAUUCAGCUCCAAAACAAAACCUAAAAACUAUUUUAGACCUCAUGAAAUAUUUGUUAUAAUAUCCCCAACCAUUUCCAAGGUUUUCAACAUUUUUGGAAAUUUAUAGUUUCUCAUUUCAAAUUUAAAACUUGAAACCAGUAGCCUUUUUCAUUUAAUCAAAAAGCUUAAAGUGUCAAGAAAAUAGUUUUCUCCAAUGCUCAUUUACUUUCAUGAUUUAUCAGAAAGUUUGAACAUUUCUUGAGGCCAUUUUGGGUUCAUUGAUUUUGAACUAGUUUGAGAUUUCCUUUAAUUGAAAUGGUGGCUAGGGUUUUGAGUUUUUCCUUUGCCACUUUGGUGUUUUUGUUGAAACUUCUUAGAUGCAAAUGCAAAGAAGACAUGAGCACAAUGCUAUGUUGCUUAAGGGUUAGGGAUGUGACAAACGGGCUCUAGGUUGGAUUUCGUGGCUUCUGGAACUUGCGGUGGCUGAAUUUUUUUCGUCGACUCCCCUAGGAUUUUCUGAAUAUUUGAGUAUUUAUAGAGAUCAGAGGCGGUGGAGGAGGCGCCCGAGGCCCCCACUAGGCGUGAGGCCGUGUCAAGGGCCCUAGGCCCGCCCUGGUAUCUAGUGGGACGUCCGGGCCUUGUCUGGUACUCAUUCUUGGCUCCCAAGUUUCCUUCUACUCCAAAAAACAUCUCCGUAAAGUUUAGUGGCAUUUGGACUUCAUCUGAUAUUGAUUUUCUCCCAAGGAAAAAAAUAGCAACUGGCACUAGGCACUAUGUCAAUAGGGUAGUCCCAAAAAAUGAUAUAAAGUUCCUAUAAAAUGAUCUAAAACAACCAAGAAUGAUAAUAUAACUGUUGGGGAACGUCGCAUGGGAAACAAAAAAAAUUCCUACACGCACACAUGAUCUAUCCAUGGUGAUGACCAUCUACGAGAGGAGAGAGUGUAUCUACAUACCCUUGUAGAUCGCUAAACGGAAGCGUAUAUAACGCGGUUGAUGUAGUGGAACAUCUUCGCGAUCCAAAUCGCAUCCCGUCCUGCGAUCUCAUCAUGAUUCGUCCCACGAUCCCAUCAUGGUCCGUCCCGUUCUAGUGCUGAACGAACGACACCUCCGUGUUCAGAACACGUACGGCUCAAUGGCGUCUCCUCCUUCUUGAUCCAUCAAGAGAGGAAGGAGAAGUAGAUGAUAUCUCAACCAGCACGACGGCAUGGUGGACAUGAUGGUGGAGCAGUGCCAGCAGGGCUUCGCCAAGCGCUGUCGGAACCAAUCUGAGGAGAAAACGAAGUUAUGGGAGAGGUAGAGCUGCCACCGGGGCGUGGGAAUUGGUGUGUCUAGCCCCUCCCUCUCCCCCACUAUAUAUAGGAGGCAAGGAGGAGGGUUGGAUCGCAGCCCUAGCCCCUCCUCCAAGGAGGUGGCGUGGGCCUAGGGAGGUUU
rnacentral:lncRNA from 1 species